UCCAGACUCCUACGGGAGGCAGCAGUGGGGGAUAUUGCACAAUGGGGGGAACCCUGAUGCAGCGACGCCGCGUGGGUGAAGGAGCGUUUCGGCGCGUAAAGCCCUAUCGGCAGGGAAGAAGGAGGACGGUACCUGACUAAGAAGCCCCGGCUAACUACGUGCCAGCAGCCGCGGUAAUACGUAGGGGGCAAGCGUUAUCCGGAUUUACUGGGUGUAAAGGGGGCGCAGACGGCAGCGCAAGCCAGGAGUGAAAGCCCGGGGCCCAACCCCGGGACUGCUCUUGGAACUGCGCGGCUGGAGUGCAGGAGGGGCAGGCGGAAUUCCUGGUGUAGCGGUGAAAUGCGUAGAUAUCAGGAGGAACACCGGUGGCGAAGGCGGCCUGCUGGACUGCGACUGACGUUGAGGCCCGAAAGCGUGGGGAGCAAACAGGAUUAGAUACCCCCGUAGAU
rnacentral:rRNA from 1 species